AUGAUUAUCAGGGAUUUCAACGCGAUCCUAGUGUCCAGCAAGGACGAGGGAGGUAACGUGAGGCCUCAUCAGCACAUGCAAAAUUUUAGAGAUUGCAUAGAAGAAUGUAAGUUGCAUGAGAUCAUGUUCUUGGGAGAUCCACUCACCAAGAGCCGUGGUAUGAUUAGAGAGCGACUGGACCGGGCCUUUUCCAAUGAUGAAUGGAAUAGUAAGUACCCUUUUGCCGCGGUAAUUCAUGAACAUCACAUACAUUCAGAGCACAGGCCACUGGUGUCGGAUACAAGUUACUUUCAAAUAGGCGCAACGUUCAAGUGGAGAACACAGGUUCGAGGCUUACUGGUUACACGAGGAAACAGUUCGAGAGAUUGUUACUUCGGCAUGGCAACGUGCUAA
rnacentral:rRNA from 1 species